UUCUUUGCUGACGAGUGGCGGACGGGUGAGUAAUGCUUGGGAAUCUGGCUUAUGGAGGGGGAUAACUACGGGAAACUGUAGCUAAUACCGCGUAGUAUCGGGAGAUGAAAGACUGGGACCGCAAGGCCAGUUGCCAUAAGAUGAGCCCAAGUGGGAUUAGGUAGUUGGUGGGGUAAAGGCCUACCAAGCCGACGAUCUCUAGCUGGUCUG
rnacentral:rRNA from 1 species